UUUUUGCGUUAGGGAUAGUAGUGAAAAUCCUUCUCCUCAAGUGAGCUUGAGGAGAAGAUUGUAACGGAUAGCCCGACCCCCC
rnacentral:sRNA from 1 species